rnacentral:tRNA from 1 species
UUAGCGCAGCGGUAGCGUACUUCCUUGACAUGGAAGGGGUCACUGGUUCGAUCCCAGUA